UCGCUCUUCAGCCACUGGUCCUCCGGCGAUGUCCUCUAUCUUCGCUCAUUUAACACGGCGGAGAUUGAAAUAGGUCUUGGUGUUUGAACUACUAUGUAGUAAGUUUUUUCACAGGUCUUGGUGUUUGAACUACUAUGUAUUAAGUUUUUGCGGAGUGGAUUGUGUUCGUUGUUCAAAACAAGCGGUUCUCGUGUUGACAAUUGCGAUUUGAGUCAAAUUUAGUCGUAUAGAUAACUGUAGUUAUGUAUAGUUCCAUGUAGUUAUAUAUAUUUAUAUACAAGCUAUGUGGUUUUUCUGAUGAAUAGUGAUCUUGAUGAUUGUGUUUUUUUUCA